rnacentral:tRNA from 1 species
GGCGGGAUAGUUCAGUUGGCUAGAACAAUCGGUUCAUACCCGGUAUGUCAGGGGUUCAAGUCCCUUUCCCGCUACCA